AAUCUGUCACUUGGGGAUGGGCCUGCGGCGCAUUAGCUAGUUGGUGAGGUAACGGCUCACCAAGGCGACGAUGCGUAGCCGACCUGAGAGGGUGAUCGGCCACACUGGGACUGAGACACGGCCCAGACUCCUACGGGAGGCAGCAGUAGGGAAUCUUCCGCAAUGGGCGAAAGCCUGACGGAGCAAUGCCGCGUGAGUGAUGAAGGUUUUCGGAUCGUAAAGCUCUGUUGCCAGGGAAGAACGCUUGGGAGAGUAACUGCUCUCAAGGUGACGGUACCUGAGAAGAAAGCCCCGGCUAACUACGUGCCAGCAGCCGCGGUAAUACGUAGGGGGCAAGCGUUGUCCGGAAUUAUUGGGCGUAAAGCGCGCGCAGGCGGUCAUUUAAGUCUGGUGUUUAAUCCCGGGGCUCAACCCCGGAUCGCACUGGAAACUGGGUGACUUGAGUGCAGAAGAGGAGAGUGGAAUUCCACGUGUAGCGGUGAAAUGCGUAGAUAUGUGGAGGAACACCAGUGGCGAAGGCGACUCUCUGGGCUGUAACUGACGCUGAGGCGCGAAAGCGUGGGGAGCAAACAGGAUUAGAUA
rnacentral:rRNA from 1 species